CUUGACAUCCAGAGAAUUAGCAGAGAUGCUUUAGUACCUUCGGGAACUCUGAGACAGGUGCUGCAUGGCUGUCGUCAGCUCGUGUUGUGAAAUGUUGGGUUAAGUCCCGCAACGAGCGCAACCCUUAUCCUUUGUUGCCAGCACGUAAUGGUGGGAAACUCAAAGGAGACUGCCGGUGAUAAACCGGAGGAAGGUGGGGAUGACGUCAAGUCAUCAUGGCCCUUACGAGUAGGGCUACACACGUGCUACAAUGGCGCAUACAAAGAGAAGCGACCUCGCGAGAGCAAGCGGACCUCAUAAAGUGCGUCGUAGUCCGGAUUGGAGCCUGCAACUCGACUCCAUGAAGUCGGAAUCGCUAGUAAUCGUAAAUCAGAAUGUUACGGUGAAUACGUUCCCGGGCCUUGUACACACCGCCCGUCACACCAUGGGAGUGGGUUGCAAAAGAAGUAGAUAGCUUAACCUUCGGGAGGGCGUUUACCACUUUGUGAUUCAUGACUGGGGUGAAGUCGUAACAAGGUAAGCGUAGUGCU
rnacentral:rRNA from 1 species